rnacentral:rRNA from 1 species
AGAGUUUGAUCCUGGCUCAGAACGAACGUUAGCGGCGCGCUUAACACAUGCAAGUCGAACGAGAAAGGGCUUCGGCCCCGGUAAAGUGGCGCACGGGUGAGUAACACGUGGGUAAUCUUCCCUUGAGCGGGGGAUAACAUUCCGAAAGGAGUGCUAAUACCGCAUAAGACCACGGCUCCGAAAGGAGCUGCGGACAAAGCAGGCCUCUUCAUGAAAGCUUGCACUCAAGGAUGAGCCCGCGGCCCAUCAGCUAGUUGGUAGGGUAAUGGCCUACCAAGGCAACGACGGGUAGCUGGUCUGAGAGGAUGAUCAGCCACACUGGAACUGAGACACGGUCCAGACUCCUACGGGAGGCAGCAGUGGGGAAUAUUGCGCAAUGGGCGAAAGCCUGACGCAGCAACGCCGCGUGAGUGAUGAAGGCCUUCGGGUCGUAAAGCUCUGUCGGAGGGAACGAAUGCUCUUGAGGUUAACAGCCUCGGGAAGUGACGGUACCCUCAAAGGAAGCACCGGCUAACUCUGUGCCAGCAGCCGCGGUAAU